GCAUAUCAAUAAGCGGAGGAAAAGAAACUAACAAGGAUUCCCCUAGUAACUGCGAGUGAAGCGGGAAAAGCUCAAAUUUAAAAUCUGGCGGUCUCUGGCCGUCCGAGUUGUAAUCUAGAGAAGUGCUAUCCGCGCUGGACCGUGUACAAGUCUCCUGGAACGGAGCGUCAUAGAGGGUGAGAAUCCCGUCUUUGACACGGACUACCAGGGCUUUGUGAUGUGCUCUCAAAGAGUCGAGUUGUUUGGGAAUGCAGCUCUAAAUGGGUGGUAAAUUCCAUCUAAAGCUAAAUAUUGGCGAGAGACCGAUAGCGAACAAGUACCGUGAGGGAAAGAUGAAAAGAACUUUGGAAAGAGAGUUAAACAGUACGUGAAAUUGUUGAAAGGGAAACGCUUGAAGUCAGUCGCGUUGGCUGGGGAUCAACCUUGCUCUUUUGCUUGGUGUACUUUCCAGUUGACGGGUCAGCAUCAAUUUUGACUGGUGGAUAAAGAUCAGGGGAAUGUGGCAUCUUCGGAUGUGUUAUAGCCUUUGGUUGCAUACAUCAGUUGGGAUUGAGGAACUCAGCACGCCGCAAGGCCGGGUCUUUGACCACGUACGUGCUUAGGAUGCUGGCAUAAUGGCUUUAAUCGACCCGUCUUGAAACACGGACC
rnacentral:rRNA from 1 species